UACGUAUGGUGCAAGCGUUAUCCGGAUUUACUGGGUGUAAAGGGAGCGCAGGCGGCACGGCAAGCCUGAUGUGAAAGCCCGCGGCCUAACCGCGGGACUGCAUUGGGAACUACCGGGCUGGAGUGCCGGAGAGGUAGGCGGAAUUCCUAGUGUAGCGGUGAAAUGCGUAGAUAUUAGGAGGAACACCAGUGGCGAAGGCGGCCUACUGGACGGUGACUGACGCUGAGGCUCGAAAGCGUGGGGAGCAAACAGG
rnacentral:rRNA from 1 species